UUGAAUAUAAAGAAAAGACGAACAGCUCAGUAACUCUUAUUUUAUUUGAUGUAUUAGGAUUAUAACUAUGUUAAAUUAUAGAUAACAAUAAUACAAUAAGAAUAAGAUCUAUCAGUUAGUUGUUAAGGUAAUGGCUUAACAAGACUAUGACGGAUAACGGUAUUACUUUGUAAUAUUCCGGAGAAGGAGCCUGAGAGAUUGCUACUAAGUCUAAGGAUUGCAGCAGGGGCGAAACUUGACCUAUGAUAUGAUAUUGAGGCAGUUAUGAGUAGUAUUUUU
rnacentral:rRNA from 1 species